UCAGGAUGAACGCUAGCUACAGGCUUAACACAUGCAAGUCGGGGGGCAGCAUGGUCUUAGCUGCUAAGAUGAUGGCGACCGGCGCACGGGUGAGUAACGCGUAUCCAACCUUCCCUAUAGUAGAGAAUAGCCCGGCGAAAGUCGGAUUAAUGCUCUAUGUUGUUCGAAGCGGGCAUCUAAUUUGAACCAAAGGCUUGCCGCUAUAGGAUGGGGAUGCGUCUGAUUAGGUAGUAGGCGGGGUAACGGCCCACCUAGCCGUCGAUCAGUAGGGGUUCUGAGAGGAAGGUCCCCCACAUUGGAACUGAGACACGGUCCAAACUCCUACGGGAGGCAGCAGUGAGGAAUAUUGGUCAAUGGACGAGAGUCUGAACCAGCCAAAGUAGCGUGCAGGAUGACGGCCCUAUGGGUUGUAAACUGCUUUUACCAGGGGAUAAAGUGCGGGACGUGUCCCGUUUUGUAGGUACCUGGUGAAUAAGGACCGGCUAAUUCCGUGCCAGCCGCGGC
rnacentral:rRNA from 1 species